GGGGGCACCGCGAGGGCGGAGCUGCGUUCUGCUCAGCACAGACCCGGGGUACACCUCGAAGGCAGAGCAGCUUUCUCCUCAGCACAGACCUUGGGGACACUGUCUCCCUUUGAGCAGAAUAGAUUACUGAUUUUGGGCACUCCAAGAUUUUGGGAGAGACCUCUCUCGUGAGAACCUUAUGUGGAACCCCCACCUGCUUGGCUCCUGAAGUUCUUGUUUGUGUUGGACUGCUGGGUUUUAGGAGUUAUUCUUUUUAUCUGCCUUAGUGGGUAUCCACCUUUCUCUGAGCAUAGGACUCAAGUGUCACUGAAGGAUCAGAUCACCAGUGGAAAACACAACUUCAUUCCUAAAGUCUGGGCAGAAAUCUCAGAGAAAGCUCUGGACCUUGUCAAGAAGUUGUUGGUAGUGGAUCCAAAGGCAUGUUUUACGACAGAAGAAGCCUUAAGACACCAUGGUUUCAGGAUGAAGACAUGAAGAGAAAGUUUCAAGAUCUUCUGUCUGAGGAAAAUGAAUCCACAGGUCUAUCCCAGGUUCUAGCCCAGCCUUCUACUAGUCGAAAGCGGCCUCGUGAAGGGGAAGCCGAGGGUGCCGAGACCACAAAGCGCCCGGCUGUGUGUGCUGCUGUGUUGUGAACUCCGUGGUUUGAACAUGAAAGAAAUGUACCUUCUUUCACUCUGUCAUCUUUCUUUUCUUUGAGUCUGUUUUUUUAUAGUUUGUAUAUUAAUUAUGGAAAUAAUUGCUUUUUC
rnacentral:lncRNA from 10 species